rnacentral:lncRNA from 1 species
GAGACAACAGGCAAACAGGACAAGGCAAAGACAGUAAGACAAGGCAGACUACAGUAAGAAGGCAGACUACAGUAAGACAAGGCAAACUACAAACUAUAGUAAGACAAGGCAGACUACAGUUAGACAAGACAGACUACAGUAAGACAAGGCAGACUAUAGUAAGACAAGGCAGAAGCCCUCACAAUGAGUCUGGACAAGGCAGCCCAGUAGGAGGAAAAGAGUACUAAGAGCAGGCAAAAGAGUCAGAGACACUCCUGCUACCACAGUUAGGAGUCCCACAAAACCACCAAGCUAACAGCCACAAGGUAUACCCAGAGGACCUGGUGCAGUGGCCCCACAGGGCCCAUGCUUGCCACGUCAAUCUCUCUGAGCCCAUAUGCUCCUUGCUUAGUUGAGAAUCCUGCUUUUUGAGCCAGUGAUCCGGGGGGCUGCUGUGCUUAGCUGUGUGUGAGCAGUCCAGAGGAGCUGGUGUGGGUACCAGGAGUGGGUAGAUGAGAUGUAUCCUAGGGACCAGGACCUUCUGCUGGUUGGCUUUUGGUACCCGUGUUGGGAAGAGGGUUCUGAUGAGCUCUUGGAAAGAUGGAGGGAAUGGG